UGUUGGAACCUCAAAUUACAUCAAUCCUUAUUUAGGUAGGAAUGUUACACAAUUAAAGUUGAAAAUUUUCAUUCCUAUAAUAAAUUAGGGAGAUAAUUCCGGGUUAAUUAACUCUAACUAACAAUCUGUAUAAUGCAGAUGUUAGCAAAUGGAUUGUAUUUAUAGAAGAGUGUUUCAAUAAGAGCUUAUAUUCAUCUUUUUUACAGUCCAUUUCAUUAAUAUGAAGAUAAUUUGAACAAACAAGCAUAAAGAGUAAUCUCCUAAAUGAUUACCACAAGCACCAUUGGCACCAGCACAAACACCAAUGUCACAAAACCGGCAGAGGUAACAUACUUGAAUUAAGAACACGCAAUACCAUUGCCAAAAGUGAGACCACAUCAUACCAUCGCUGAUAAAGGAGGCUACAUAUUGGCUAGGCGAGACAUUAUUUCUAUACUAAAAUCCAAACUCGAGUGCACUGUUCACAGACAUUGCGCUGACGAAAAUGCCUCCCAAUUGGUCUUCAACGGUUUUUUUUUUUCACAGUAAAAUGGUGGUUUUGUCCUCCCAGACCACGCGUCUCUCGUCAGUGUGCCUCUAGGUUCGAUCUUCUUUUUCUGUUCCUUGCUUGGCAGGCGUCCAUCAUCGCUGCCGUUUCUGUUUCAGUUCUCUGCUUUUUUUUUUUCUUUGCUUUCCAUUUCUCUUCUCUCUCGCCCUCUUCUCAGUGUUUUGCAAGCUUUUCUCCCUUUGUCUUUGUCGCCAUGGUCUCCAUCGCUCUCAAGCUUUUCUUCCUUUCUAUUUGUCGCCAUAGUCUCCAUUGCUCUCAAACUUGCGUUUCUAUCCCUGUCAAAUCUUGGCUCACUGGAAAAAUCUGAAGUAGUUUAAGCUUCUUCAGCUUUUUGAUUUGGAUUGAAGAUGAUUUUAAGCCAAAAAGGUUAACGUUUUCUGGAAACGGUGGUGUUCAAUUUUGGGGCUUUCAUGUGCAACCUUGGAACCACUUUGUGCUCAAGGUAUAUAAAAGGAGACGUUACUCUUCGUUUUUUGGCGCUUUUGUGUGAAGCUUUCGAAGCCCUUUGUGCUCAAGGUAAAUAAUUUUGGUUUUUUCCUUUGAGGCUUUUGUGGAACAAUUUUUUUUGUUUUUUGUUUUUGUAGUAUUGUGAUAGUUUUAUUUUGUAUGUUGUGAAAGUUGAUUGUUUGAGAAACUGAGUAACUGUGUAUUUGUUUGUAGUUAUGGUAUGAGACGUGAUAUAAAUUGAACAGGGUGAGAUAAGGUAUUUAGGUAUCACAACAAUUGAUCGUGAAAAACUAUUAACAAACUACAUUUGAAACAUUCAUUCAUUUAUGUUAUAUGUGGUGGUUCCAAGCUUGAGUUCUUUUUCCAUGCAGCCUUCUGUUAACCAAUAUGGGUCUAUUCAUUCUGGUAAUGCUGCAAAUGGAUAAAUCACAUCAGAGCGUCUGCUACCCCUUUGUUACCUGAUUUCAUGGAUUCAUCUAUGUGCUAUCUCCAUAACUAUUAUCUGUCUGCUACCUAUUACUAUGGAGGCUAUGAUGAGACUAGCAACAACUGGGACGACUACUUGAGAUAUGUAAAUCCUGAGGGAGUAUAAAUGAUUUCUAAAGGAGGAACGCCUAAACUGUAGGUCAGUCAAGCAUGACAUCCUUUCUAUGGACCUGAGGUCAGUCAAACAUGUGUUAUAUGUGUAUAGGUAGAGUUUCCAUUGGUUGAUUCUCCUCUGCUUAUAUCACUUUAUUGGGUGCCAAUUUUAGGGGGAAAUUAUGAGACAUGGAAAUUGUUGCCAAAUGCGAGGACAUAAAGUUGUCUAUUUGCAGAAUUACGUUGAAGUGGCACAAGGACCCUAAGUUGGUAUGGUCCAGUGGAUUACCUGAUCUCCUUAGUUGGGUUUAGGUUUAAUGCUCAGUGGUAUGUUGUGCUUCUGCUUCUUUUUAAUUAUCGAGGAUAUGCAGAGAUUGCAAAUGAAAAGAUUGUAUUUGCUGUGUUGAUGCAUUGUUGAGCCAGAGA